rnacentral:ncRNA from 1 species
CCAAAGGCCCUUUUCAGGGCCAACCAAUUAUUUCAAAAAGAGUCUU